rnacentral:piRNA from 1 species
GGCAGCCAUGUAAAUUGCUGAAGUGCU